AGAGCGGUAGCCCGGAGAUGGGCACUGAGACGAGGGCCCAGGCCCUAUGGGGCGCAGCAGGCGCGAAAACUCCGCAAUGCGCGAAAGCGUGACGGGGCUAUCCCGAGUGCCGUCCGCUGAGGAUGGCUUUUCCACGGUGUAAGAAGGCGUGGGAAUAAGGAGAGGGCAAGCCUGGUGUCAGCCGCCGCGGUAAAACCAGCUCUCCGAGUGGUAGGGAGGGUUACUGGGCUUAAAGCGUUCGUAGCCGGUCCGGCAAGUCUCUCGUUAAAUCCAGCGACCUAAUCGUUGGGCUGCGGGGAAUACUGCCGGACUAGGGGGCGGGAGAAGCCGACGGUAUUCCUGGGGUAGGGGUGAAAUCCUGUAAUCCCAGGAGGACCACCAGUGGCGAAGGCGGUCGGCU
rnacentral:rRNA from 1 species